rnacentral:rRNA from 1 species
AUUGAACGCUGGCGGCAGGCUUAACACAUGCAAGUCGAGCGGGGUGAUGGUGCUUGCACUAUCACUUAGCGGCGGACGGGUGAGUAAUGCUUAGGAAUCUGCCUAUUAGUGGGGGACAACAUCUCGAAAGGGAUGCUAAUACCGCAUACGUCCUACGGGAGAAAGCAGGGGAUCACUUGUGACCUUGCGCUAAUAGAUGAGCCUAAGUCGGAUUAGCUAGUUGGUGGGGUAAAGGCCUACCAAGGCGACGAUCUGUAGCGGGUCUGAGAGGAUGAGCCGCCACACUGGGACUGAGACACGGCCCAGACUCCUACGGGAGGCAGCAGUGGGGAAUAUUGGACAAUGGGGGGAACCCUGAUCCAGCCAUGCCGCGUGUGUGAAGAAGGCCUUGUGGUUGUAAAGCACUUUAAGCGAGGAGGAGGCUCUUUUGGUUAAUACCCAAGAUGAGUGGACGUUACUCGCAGAAUAAGCACCGGCUAACUCUGUGCCAGCCGCCGCCUAA